GAUGAACGCUGGCGGCGUGCCUAAUACAUGCAAGUCGAGCGAACAGACGAGGAUCUUGCUCCUCUGACGUUAGCGGCGGGCGGGUGAGUAACACGUGGAUAACCUACCUAUAAGACUGGGAUAACUUCGGGAAACCGGAGCUAAUACCGGAGAAUAUAUUGAACCGCAUGGUUCAAUAGUGAAAGACGGUUUUGCUGUCACUUAUAGAUGGAUCCGCGCCGCAUUAGCUAGUUGGUAAGGUAACGGCUUACCAAGGCAACGAUGCGUAGCCGACCUGAUAGGGUGAUCGGCCACACUGGAACUGAGACACGGUCCAGACUCCUACGGGAGGCAGCAGUAGGGAAUCUUCCGCAAUGGGCGAAAGCCUGACGGAGCAACGCCGCGUGAGUGAUGAAGGUCUUCGGAUCGUAAAACUCUGUUAUUAGGGAAGAACAAAUGUGUAAGUAACUAUGCACGUCUUGACGGUACCUAAUCAGAAAGCCACGGCUAACUACGUG
rnacentral:rRNA from 1 species